AUUGAACGCUGGCGGCAUGCCUUACACAUGCAAGUCGAACGGCAGCGCGGACUUCGGUCUGGCGGCGAGUGGCGAACGGGUGAGUAAUACAUCGGAACGUACCCUGUUGUGGGGGAUAACUAGUCGAAAGAUUAGCUAAUACCGCAUACGACCUGAGGGUGAAAGUGGGGGACCGCAAGGCCUCACGCAGCAGGAGCGGCCGAUGUCUGAUUAGCUAGUUGGUGGGGUAAAGGCCCACCAAGGCGACGAUCAGUAGCUGGUCUGAGAGGACGAUCAGCCACACUGGGAGUGAGACACGGCCGAGACUCCUACGGGAGGCAGCAGUGGGGAAUUUUGGACAAUGGGGGCAACCUUGAGCCAGCGAUGCCGCGUGUGUGAAGAAGGCCUUCGGGUUGUAAAGCACUUUUGUCCGGAAAGAAAUCGCGCUGGUUAAUAACACUGGGGGAUGACAGUACCUGAAGAAUAAGCACCGGCUAACUACGUGCCAGCCGCCGCGGUAA
rnacentral:rRNA from 1 species